AGCUUUGUGCAGUGGCAGUAUCGUAGCCAAUGAGGUUUAUCCGAGGUGUGAUUAUUGCUAAUUAAAAUAGCAUGAAAAUUAUUAC
ensembl:snRNA U4 U4 spliceosomal RNA